ACCGUUCUUUUUAUAAAGUACAAUUAAAAAUUCAUGUUAUUUUUUUCAAUAUGUUAAGAUAUUUGUUCCGAUUAUUUUCGGAACGCUGGAAGUAAUAAAUUUAAUACUUAUUACUGCAGCAAUAACUUAAGGUGGUUAUUGCAAUGGGGCUCACCUCUUACCAUUCCGAACAGAGAAGUUAAGCCCAUUAGCGCCGAUGGUACUGCAUUUGUGGAAGAGUAGGUCAUCGCCUUUU
rnacentral:rRNA from 1 species